UCCGGAGGGGGCGAGCGUUAUUCGGAAUUAUUGGGCGUAACGGGCGCGUAGGCGGCUGUACAAGUCAAAGGUGAAAUCCCUCGGCUCAACUGAGGAACUGCCUUUGAAACUGUACGGCUUGAGGCCGGGAGGGGGUAGCGGAAUUCCCAGUGUAGCGGUGAAAUGCGUAGAUACUGGGAGGAACACCAGUGGCGAAGGCGGCUACCUGGACCGGUUCUGACGCUGAGGCGCGAAAGCGUGGGUAGCAAACAGG
rnacentral:rRNA from 1 species